CCUACGGGUGGCUGCAGUGGGGAAUAUUGGACAAUGGGGGGAACCCUGAUCCAGCCAUGCCGCGUGUGUGAAGAAGGCCCUCGGGUUGUAAAGCACUUUCAGUGAGGAAGAACGCCUGGUGGUUAAUACCCAUCAGGAAAGACAUCACUCACAGAAGAAGCACCGGCUAACUCCGUGCCAGCAGCCGCGGUAAUACGGAGGGUGCGAGCGUUAAUCGGAAUUACUGGGCGUAAAGCGCGCGUAGGUGGCUUGAUAAGCCGGUUGUGAAAGCCCCGGGCUCAACCUGGGAACGGCAUCCGGAACUGUCAAGCUAGAGUGCAGGAGAGGAAGGGAGAAUUCCCGGUGUAGCGGUGAAAUGCGUAGAGAUCGGGAGGAAUACCAGUGGCGAAGGCGGCCUUCUGGACUGACACUGACACUGAGGUGCGAAAGCGUGGGUAGCAAACAGGAUUAGAUACCCUAGUAGUC
rnacentral:rRNA from 1 species